UGUGGCCUACGGGGGGCAGCAGUGAGGAAUAUUGGUCAAUGGCCGAGAGACUGAACCAGCCAAGCCGCGUGAGGGAUGAAGGUACAGAGUAUCGUAAACCCCUUUUGUCAGGGAACAAAGGCGGGGACGUGUCCCCGGAUGAGUGUACCUGAAGAAAAAGCAUCGGCUAACUCCGUGCCAGCAGCCGCGGUAAUACGGAGGAUGCGAGCGUUAUCCGGCUUUAUUGGGUUUAAAGUGUGCGCAGGCGGUCUUUUAAGUCAGCGGUCAACGCCCGGGGCU
rnacentral:rRNA from 1 species